AAUUCGAUUAGUUUGAUCCUGGCUCAGGACGAACGCUGGCGGCGUGCUUAACACAUGCAAGUCGAGCGGUAAGGCUCCUUCGGGAGUACACGAGCGGCGAACGGGUGAGUAACACGUGAGCAAUCUGCCCUCCACACUGGGAUACCCCCCGGAAACGGGUGCUAAUACCAGAUACAACCACUUCAGGCAUCUGAUGGUGGUGGAAAGUUCUGGCGGUGAAGGAUGAGCUCGCGGCCUAUCAGCUUGUUGGUGAGGUAAUGGCCCACCAAGGCUUCGACGGGUAGCCGGCCUGAGAGGGUGACCGGCCACACUGGGACUGCGACACGGCCCAGACUCCUACGGGAGGCAGCAGUGGGGAAUAUUGGACAAUGGGCGAAAGCCUGAUCCAGCAACGCCGCGUGAGGGAUGACGGCCUUCGGGUUGUAAACCUCUUUCAGCAGGGACGAAGCGAAAGUGACGGUACCUGCAGAAGAAGCACCGGCCAACUACGUGCCAGCAGCCGCGGUAAUACGUAGGGUGCGAGCGUUGUCCGGAAUUAUUGGGCGUAAAGGGCUCGUAGGCGGUUUGUCACGUCGGGAGUGAAAACUCAGGGCUUAACCCUGAGCCUGCUUCCGAUACGGGCAGACUAGAGGUAUGCAGGGGAGAACGGAAUUCCUGGUGUAGCAGUGAAAUGCGCAGAUAUCAGGAGGAACACCGGUGGCGAAGGCGGUUCUCUGGGCAUUACCUGACGCUGAGGAGCGAAAGUGUGGGGAGCGAAC
rnacentral:rRNA from 1 species